rnacentral:rRNA from 1 species
GGGUUGUGAGGUUAAGCGACCAAGCGUACACGGUGGAUGCCCUGGCAGUCAGAGGCGAUGAAGGACGUGCUAAUCUGCGAUAAGCGCCGGUAAGGUGAUAUGAACCGUUAUAACCGGCGAUUUCCGAAUGGGGAAACCCAGUGUGAUUCGUCACACUAUCAUUAACUGAAUCCAUAGGUUAAUGAGGCGAACCGGGGGAACUGAAACAUCUAAGUACCCCGAGGAAAAGAAAUCAACCGAGAUUCCCCCAGUAGCGGCGAGCGAACGGGGAGGAGCCCAGAGCCUGAAUCAGCAUGUGUGUUAGUGGAAGCGUCUGGAAAGGCGCGCGAUACAGGGUGACAGCCCCGUACACAAAAGCGCAUAUGCUGUGAGCUCGAUGAGUAGGGCGGGACACGUGGUAUCCUGUCUGAAUAUGGGGGGACCAUCCUCCAAGGCUAAAUACUCCUGACUGACCGAUAGUGAACCAGUACCGUGAGGGAAAGGCGAAAAGAACCCCGGCGAGGGGAGUGAAACAGAACCUGAAACCGUGUACGUACAAGCAGUGGGAGCACAGGUUUACCUGUGUGACUGCGUACCUUUUGUAUAAUGGGUCAGCGACUUAUAUUCUGUAGCAAGGUUAACCGCAUAGGGGAGCCGAAGGGAAACCGAGUCUUAAUUGGGCGUUAAGUUGCAGGGUAUAGACCCGAAACCCGGUGAUCUAGCCAUGGGCAGGUUGAAGGUUGGGUAACACUAACUGGAGGACCGAACCGACUAAUGUUGAAAAAUUAGCGGAUGACCUGUGGCUGGGGGUGAAAGGCCAAUCAAACCGGGAGAUAGCUGGUUCUCCCCGAAAGCUAUUUAGGUAGCGCCUCGUGAACUCAUCUCCGGGGGUAGAGCACUGUUUCGGCUAGGGGGCCAUCCCGGCUUACCAACCCGAUGCAAACUGCGAAUACCGGAGAAUGUUAUCACGGGAGACACACGGCGGGUGCUAACGUCCGUCGUGAAGAGGGAAACAACCCAGACCGCCAGCUAAGGUCCCAAAGUCAUGGUUAAGUGGGAAACGAUGUGGGAAGGCCCAGACAGCCAGGAUGUUGGCUUAGAAGCAGCCAUCAUUUAAAGAAAGCGUAAUAGCUCACUGGUCGAGUCGGCCUGCGCGGAAGAUGUAACGGGGCUAAACCAUGCACCGAAGCUGCGGCAGCGACGCUUAUGCGUUGUUGGGUAGGGGAGCGUUCUGUAAGCCUGCGAAGGUGGCCUGUGAGGGUUGCUGGAGGUAUCAGAAGUGCGAAUGCUGACAUAAGUAACGAUAAAGCGGGUGAAAAGCCCGCUCGCCGGAAGACCAAGGGUUCCUGUCCAACGUUAAUCGGGGCAGGGUGAGUCGACCCCUAAGGCGAGGCCGAAAGGCGUAGUCGAUGGGAAACGGGUUAAUAUUCCCGUACUUGGUGUUACUGCGAAGGGGGGACGGAGAAGGCUAUGUUGGCCGGGCGACGGUUGUCCCGGUUUAAGCGUGUAGGCUGACUUUCCAGGCAAAUCCGGAGAGUCAAGGCUGAGGCGUGACGACGAGGCACUACGGUGCUGAAGCAACAAAUGCCCUGCUUCCAGGAAAAGCCUCUAAGCAUCAGGUAACAUCAAAUCGUACCCCAAACCGACACAGGUGGUCAGGUAGAGAAUACCAAGGCGCUUGAGAGAACUCGGGUGAAGGAACUAGGCAAAAUGGUGCCGUAACUUCGGGAGAAGGCACGCUGACACGUAGGUGAAGUGAUUUACUCAUGGAGCUGAAGUCAGUCGAAGAUACCAGCUGGCUGCAACUGUUUAUUAAAAACACAGCACUGUGCAAACACGAAAGUGGACGUAUACGGUGUGACGCCUGCCCGGUGCCGGAAGGUUAAUUGAUGGGGUCAGCGCAAGCGAAGCUCCUGAUCGAAGCCCCGGUAAACGGCGGCCGUAACUAUAACGGUCCUAAGGUAGCGAAAUUCCUUGUCGGGUAAGUUCCGACCUGCACGAAUGGCGUAAUGAUGGCCAGGCUGUCUCCACCCGAGACUCAGUGAAAUUGAACUCGCUGUGAAGAUGCAGUGUACCCGCGGCAAGACGGAAAGACCCCGUGAACCUUUACUAUAGCUUGACACUGAACAUUGAGCCUUGAUGUGUAGGAUAGGUGGGAGGCUUUGAAGCGUGGACGCCAGUCUGCGUGGAGCCGGCCUUGAAAUACCACCCUUUAAUGUUUGAUGUUCUAACGUGGACCCGUGAUCCGGGUUGCGGACAGUGUCUGGUGGGUAGUUUGACUGGGGCGGUCUCCUCCUAAAGAGUAACGGAGGAGCACGAAGGUUGGCUAAUCCUGGUCGGACAUCAGGAGGUUAGUGCAAUGGCAUAAGCCAGCUUGACUGCGAGCGUGACGGCGCGAGCAGGUGCGAAAGCAGGUCAUAGUGAUCCGGUGGUUCUGAAUGGAAGGGCCAUCGCUCAACGGAUAAAAGGUACUCCGGGGAUAACAGGCUGAUACCGCCCAAGAGUUCAUAUCGACGGCGGUGUUUGGCACCUCGAUGUCGGCUCAUCACAUCCUGGGGCUGAAGUAGGUCCCAAGGGUAUGGCUGUUCGCCAUUUAAAGUGGUACGCGAGCUGGGUUUAGAACGUCGUGAGACAGUUCGGUCCCUAUCUGCCGUGGGCGCUGGAGAACUGAGGGGGGCUGCUCCUAGUACGAGAGGACCGGAGUGGACGCAUCACUGGUGUUCGGGUUGUCAUGCCAAUGGCACUGCCCGGUAGCUAAAUGCGGAAGAGAUAAGUGCUGAAAGCAUCUAAGCACGAAACUUGCCCCGAGAUGAGUUCUCCCUGAGACUUAGAGUCUCCUGAAGGAACGUUGAAGACGACGACGUUGAUAGGCCGGGUGUGUAAGCGCAGCGAUGCGUUGAGCUAACCGGUACUAAUGAACCGUGAGGCUUAACCUUACAACGCCGAAGCUGUU